AUUGAACGCUGGCGGCAGGCCUAACACAUGCAAGUCGAGCGGUAGAGAGAAGCUUGCUUCUCUUGAGAGCGGCGGACGGGUGAGUAAUGCCUAGGAAUCUGCCUGGUAGUGGGGGAUAACGUUCGGAAACGGACGCUAAUACCGCAUACGUCCUACGGGAGAAAGCAGGGGACCUUCGGGCCUUGCGCUAUCAGAUGAGCCUAGGUCGGAUUAGCUAGUUGGUGAGGUAAUGGCUCACCAAGGCGACGAUCCGUAACUGGUCGGAGAGGAUGAUCAGUCACACUGGAACUGAGACACGGUCCAGACUCCUACGGGAGGCAGCAGUGGGGAAUAUUGGACAAUGGGCGAAAGCCUGAUCCAGCCAUGCCGCGUGUGUGAAGAAGGUCUUCGGAUUGUAAAGCACUUUAAGUUGGGAGGAAGGGUUGUAGAUUAAUACUCUGCAAUUUUGACGUUACCGACAGAAUAAGCACCGGCUAGCUCUGUGCCAGCCGCCGCAGUAA
rnacentral:rRNA from 1 species